UACGGGGGGAGCAAGCGUUGUUCGGAUUUACUGGGCGUAAAGGGCGCGUAGGCGGUCAGCACAAGUCAGUUGUGAAAUCUCCGGGCUUAACUCGGAAAGGUCAACUGAUACUGUGCGACUAGAGUGCAGAAGGGGCAACUGGAAUUCUCGGUGUAGCGGUGAAAUGCGUAGAUAUCGAGAGGAACACCUGCGGCGAAGGCGGCCCCCUGGUUGGAUACUGACGCUGAUACGCGAAAGCGUGGGGAGCAAACAGG
rnacentral:rRNA from 1 species